UCAUAAGUUUGGCGAAAAGNNNNNCCACUUUUACUUAACUUAGCUAUAAGUUAAUAUUUNAGGUGGUGGCACAAAAUCGGAGGCCCCGACUGUUUACUUAAAACAUAAGAAUCUGCANUGAUUAAUAUCGUGGUAUAGGUUCUGAAAUUUGCCCAAUGCCAUUAAUAUAAGUGCNGGUAAUGAGAGUUACUAAUCCCACGAAUGUCUGGUUAAUAGCGGUCUUAACUAUGAGG
rnacentral:rRNA from 1 species